rnacentral:misc_RNA from 1 species
AACGCACGAGACCUGCGGACCUGCGGAAGGAUCAUUACCGAGUUCUCGCCCCUCGCGGGGUAGACCUCCCACCCACUGUGAUCACUACCGUCGUUGCUUUGGCGGGCCGCUGGGCCCAGCCCACCGCCGGCUCCGGCUGGCGCGUGCCCGCCAGAGGCCCUACAAACGCUGGAUAUCAGUGCCGUCUGAGUACACAUGUUAAUCGUUAAAACUUUCAACAAUGGAUCUCUAGAUCGGAAG